rnacentral:rRNA from 1 species
UGGGGAAUAUUGCACAAUGGGCGCAAGCCUGAUGCAGCCAUGCCGCGUGUGUGAAGAAGGCCUUCGGGUUGUAAAGCACUUUCAGCGGGGAGGAAGGCGUUAAGGUUAAUAACCUUGGCGAUUGACGUUACCCGCAGAAGAAGCACCGGCCAACUCCGUGCCAGCAGCCGCGGUAAUACGGAGGGUGCAAGCGUUAAUCGGAAUUACUGGGCGUAAAGCGCACGCAGGCGGUCUGUCAAGUCGGAUGUGAAAUCCCCGGGCUCAACCUGGGAACUGCAUUCGAAACUGGCAGGCUAGAGUCUUGUAGAAGGGGGUAGAAUUCCAGGUGUAGCGGUGAAAUGCGUAGAGAUCUGGAGGAAUACCGGUGGCGAAGGCGGCCCCCUGGACAAAGACUGACGCUCAGGUGCGAAAGCGUGGGGAGCAAACAGG